rnacentral:rRNA from 1 species
UACAGAGGUCCCGAGCGUUGUUCGGAUUCACUGGGCGUAAAGGGUGCGUAGGUGGCUUGAAAAGUUCGAUGUGAAAUCUCCGGGCUUAACCCGGAAAAGGCAUUGAAAACUAGCGAGCUGGAGGUUUGGAGGGGGGACUGGAAUUCUCGGUGUAGCAGUGAAAUGCGUAGAUAUCGAGAGGAACACCAGUGGCGAAGGCGAGUCCCUGGACAACACCUGACACUGAGGCACGAAAGCCGGGGGAGCAAACAGG